AGGGAAAUAGCUCAGUGAUAGGGCACAUGCUUAGCAUGCAGCAGAUCCUGGGUUCAAUCCCCAGUACCUCCA
rnacentral:tRNA from 1 species